CUCAGAUUCGCACCAAACAUAGCAUAUAACGUGGCUAGCUACCACUAUAAGAGAAACACCGGACAUAUUAAUAGAGCCGGCAUGAAUAAGUCAUCCAUGUCGUAUGGUAAACGAGCCGGCACGAGAAAUGAAUUAUCUGCGGUGGCUCUCAAUAGAGCCAUCAUGGAUGCCCUCUAGGAUUAUCCAUGUCGGCUCUCAACAAUACCCAUCAUGGAUAUCCUCAGAGUUAUCUGUGCCAACUCUCGGACUUAAAAACUUGCAACUUUAGCAUACAAACUCAGAUGGAGACAAAAUUUGUAGGUUUUGACUAGAUCUACAACUUUAUUGUUGAAUUUUUUUGAUUUUAAGUUGUUUAGAUACUCAAUAUAAUUUUAACUCGUAUUUCCACCCUAGUAAUUUGAAUUUCCGAUUGUGUUCAGAAAUUUGUAACUUUUGCAUAUUGAUUUGGAUGAAGAUAAACUUUCUACAACAAUCAUAGAUUUCUACCAGAUCUAUAACUUUGUAGUUGAAACCUUUUUAAUUUGAAGCCAUUUAGAUGCCCAAACAAUGUAUAUUCAGCUUGUGUUUCCACCCUUGUAAUUUGGAUUUCAGAUUAUAUUCGAAAUUCG
rnacentral:lncRNA from 1 species